rfam:Capsella rubella cultivar Monte Gargano unplaced genomic scaffold scaffold_6, whole genome shotgun sequence.
CUUCUGCUAUGAUGAUCUUUUUGAAUCAAAUUCACAUGUCAGACUUCAGAGAUUAUUUUAGUAUAAUCUAUGAGAAUAAAUAUUCAUACAAACUGAGCAGAAG